AAGAUGUUAUUAUGUAGUUGAUGGUGUUGUAGUUUUUUUUGUGUGGAAGAAAUGAAGAAAAUGAUGGAGUUGUUGUUGUUGUAGUUUUGAAGAAAAUGAGAGAGUUUUGUUUUUUAGAAAGGUGAUGAUAUUAUGUUUGUUAUUGAAGAGAUGAAUAUUAUGUUGUUCUUGAAGGAAAAGAAUGGAGAAGUACGAAGGUUGU
rnacentral:lncRNA from 1 species